CGAAAGCCUGACGGAGCAAUACCGCGUGAGGGAGGAAGGCUCUUGGGUUGUAAACCUCGUUUCUCAGGGAAGAAAUCUUGACGGUACCUGAGGAAUAAGCAUCGGCUAACUCUGUGCCAGCAGCCGCGGUAAUACGGAGGAUGCAAGCGUUAUCCGGAAUGAUUGGGCGUAAAGCGUCCGCAGGUGGCUUUGUAAGUCUGCUGUUAAAUAGUGAGGCUCAACCUCAUAAAGGCAGUGGAAACUACACGGCUAGAGUGCGUUCGGGGCAGAGGGAAUUCCUGGUGUAGCGGUGAAAUGCGUAGAGAUCAGGAAGAACACCGGCGGCGAAAGCGCUCUGCUAGGCCGCAACUGACACUGAGGGACGAAAGCUAGGGGAGCGAAUGGGAUUAGAUACCCCAGUAGUCCUAGCCGUAAACGAUGGAUACUAGGCGUGGCUUGUAUCGACCCGAGCCGUGCCGUAGCUAACGCGUUAAGUAUCCCGCCUGGGGAGUACGCAGGCAACUGUGAAACUCAAAGGAAUUGACGGGGGCCCGCACAAGCGGUGGAGUAUGUGGUUUAAUUCGAUGCAACGCGAAGAACCUUACCAGGACUUGACAUGUCGCGAAUUGAGGUGAAAGCUUCGAGUGCCUUCGGGAGCGCGAACACAGGUGGUGCAUGGCUGUCGUCAGCUCGUGUCGUGAGAUGUUGGGUUAAGUCCCGCAACGAGCGCAACCCUCGUUUUUAGUUGCCAUCAUUAAGUUGGGCACUCUAGAGAGACUGCCGGUGACAAACCGGAGGAAGGUGGGGAUGACGUCAAGUCAGCAUGCCCCUUACGUUCUGGGCUACACACGUACUACAAUGCUACGGACAAAGGGCAGCUACACAGCGAUGUGAUGCUAAUCUCAGAAACCGUAGCUCAGUUCAGAUCGCAGGCUGCAACUCGCCUGCGUGAAGGAGGAAUCGCUAGUAAUUGCAGGUCAGCAUACUGCAGUGAAUUCGUUCCCGGGCCUUGUACACACCGCCCGUCACACCAUGGAAGCUGGCAGUGCCCGAAGUCAUUACCCCAACCUUAGGGGGGGGAUGCCUAAGGCAGGACUGGUGACUGGGGUGAAGUCGUAACAAGGUAGCCGUACCGGGAGGUGUGGCUGGAUCACCUCCUUUAAAGGAGACCUACCCACUCAGAUAUCGAAAACAUUCUUGUAAUUAGGUAUUGAGUUGGUCAUCCUUAAGGUCGGUCGCGACAGAUGUUGUAACUAGCUUUCAAACUAUAUUUUGGUUCAAAUUGGGCUAUUAGCUCAGGUGGUUAGAGCGCACCCCUGAUAAGGGUGAGGUCCCUGGUUCGAGUCCAGGAUGGCCCACCUGAAAAAGUCAGAAGUAUAAAGUCAAAAGUCAAAAGACUUUUAAUUUGAAACUUUCAACUUGAGUGUGGGGUAAAGAGUCAGUUGAGAUAGCACCAGAAAUGCAUCGGUAGAUGUGAUUUAUGUUGUUAUUACGCUAGCUUGCAAUCUUUUUUAUGUAUAGAGUGGAAAAUUCAGCAACUGAGCAUACUGUUGCCAGACUGCUGGAGAUAUUUCCAGCAAUAGAACCUUGAAAACUGCAUAGUGAAGUGAAUAACAUGCCAGAUACGGACAAAGAUAUAAUCAUUUGUCGUGUUUGGAUGAUAAGCAAUUGAAUUUUGGUCAAGCUAAUAAGGGCUAACGGU
rnacentral:rRNA from 1 species